GUACAACCAAUCUCUAUGUAUUACAUAAAACUUAAAUCUUAAUUAGCAGCUCCAGGUAGAUUAUCUUAUCACCACUUGUCCUCAUCACCCUGCUGACACUCUUUUAUACAAGGGGCCUUGAUACUCUCCUAAGAACUGACAUGUUUAAUUUGAAAGAUUUUUGGAUGCAUGUUUCCAGACUGAAAACCAGGGGGAAAAAACAACCAUGGAAACCUAAUUCAUCUGAACUUUUUGCACGAACUUUCAGAGUGCAGUGAAAUACACUGAGCAAUUUGACAGU